rnacentral:rRNA from 1 species
GAUGAACGCUAGCGGCAGGCCUAAUACAUGCAAGUCGAACGGUGUCUUCGGACAUAGUGGCGCACGGGUGCGUAACACGUAUGCAACCUACCUUACAUUGGGGGAUAGCCUUUCGAAAGGGAGAUUAAUACCGCAUAAGACAGUAGCUGGGCAUCCAGCAGCUGUUAAAGAUUUAUCGAUGUAAGCUGGGCAUGCGUCCAAUUAGCUAGUUGGUGAGGUAACGGCUCACAAAGGCAAUGAUUGGUAGGGGAACUGAGAGGUCAAUCCCCCGCCCUGGCACUGAGAUACGGGCCAGACUCCUACGGGAGGCAGCAGUAGGGAAUAUUGGGCAAUGGACGCAAGUCUGACCCAGCCAUGCCGCGUGCAGGAUGAAGGCGUUAUGCGUUGUAAACUGCUUUUAUACAGGAAGAAACGACUCUUGCGAGAGGCAUUGACGGUACUGUAUGAAUAAGCACCGGCUAACUCCGUGCCAGCCGCCGCCGUAAGAC